UGCCAGACUCCUACGGGAGGCAGCAGUGGGGAAUAUUGCACAAUGGGGGAAACCCUGAUGCAGCAACGCCGCGUGGGUGAAGGAGCGUUUCGGCGCGUAAAGCCCUGUCAGCGGGGAAGAAGAAAGACGGUACCCGACCAAGAAGCCCCGGCUAACUACGUGCCAGCAGCCGCGGUAAUACGGGGGAUGCAAGCGUUGUCCGGAAUCAUUGGGCGUAAAGAGUUCGUAGGUGGCACGUUAAGUCUGGUGUUAAAUGCAGAGGCUCAACCUCUGUUCGGCACUGGAUACUGGCGAGCUUGAAUGCGGUAGAGGUAAAGGGAAUUCCUGGUGUAGCGGUGAAAUGCGUAGAUAUCAGGAGGAACAUCGGUGGCGUAAGCGCUUUACUGGGCCGUAAUUGACACUGAGGAACGAAAGCCAGGGUAGCAAAUGGGAUUAGAUACCCCGGUAA
rnacentral:rRNA from 1 species